rnacentral:rRNA from 1 species
UGGCGGCGUGGAUUAGGCAUGCAAGUCGAGCGCUCAUAGCAAUAUGGGAGCGGCGAACGGCGUAGGAAUUCAUAGGAACGUACCCUCAGGACGGGGAUAGCUACGGGAAACUGUAGGUAAUACCCGAUGAUCUCCGCGGAGCAAAGGUGUGAUUCCGCCUGAGGAGCGGCUUAUGUGAUAUUAGCUAGUUGGUGGGGUAAUGGCCUACCAAGGCGAAGAUGUCUAGGGGGUGUGAGAGCAUGGCCCCCACGACCGGAACUGAGAUACUGUCCGGACACCUACGGGUGGCUGCAGUCGAGAAUCUUCCGCAAUGGACGAAAGUCUGACGGAGCGACGCCGCGUGCGGGAUGAAGGCCCUUGGGUUGUAAACCGCUUUCGGAGGGGAUGAAAUCCUCGAGGGUACUCCCUCGAGGUUGACAGAGCCUCAAAAGAAGCACGGGCUAAGUACGUGCCAGCAGCCGCGGUAACGCGUACUGUGCGAACGUUAUUCGGAAUCACUGGGCUUAAAGGGUGCGUAGGCGGCGAUUCAAGUCAGAUGUGAAAUGCCUGAGCUCAACUGAGGCAUUGCGUUUGAAACUGAAUUGCUAGAGUAUUUCAGGGGUGUGCGGAACUGCCAGUGGAGCGGUGAAUGUGUUGAUAUUGGCAGGACACCGGAGGCGAAAGCGGCACACUGGGGAAUAACUGACGCUGAGGCAGAAAGCUAGGGG